rnacentral:lncRNA from 1 species
ACAUCAAAACUUGUCCCCAGGAGGAAGGAAGCAUUCUCAGCCAAGGGGAUGGAGUAGGGCGCUGAGCUUCUGCCAACCAUGGAAAGGCCAGCCCUUUGGUUCUCACAUCUGAAGAAAACACCACGAAGGUCCCCUGAAAACUGUCCCAUCGGGCUUCCAUCUCACAUCCCGUGAGCUGACGUCUCCCUCUCUUCCUAGCUGUAAUCUCUUUUUAAAAAGAAAUUGCCCAGACCCCUUUGCAUCGAUAUUCUCUUUUGAACAAAACUGUGUAAAUGGAGGUCCCAUGAUUAAUGUUUUGAGACCUACAACAUUUUAAGACAUUUAUGGGGAAAAACUUCUUUCCAAAUGACUUAACGUAGGAGUCCCUUAAGUAUGCUCUUAGACUGACGUUUCUUAAAUCGUGUGUGAACCUCGUUUAUGAGUGGAAAUUUAAUAACCACUGACUCAUAGCUAGAUAAAAGGGACAUGUCUGAGCUGGGCAGCUUAAUGACACAUUCAAACCAGGGGUUCCACGACGGUGCAGAUGUCACACGCACAGAAUCUGUCCGAUAGCGGUUGCACAAGUCAAGAUUAAAGUGAAAGUCUGAACUGAAGCUUGAGGGUGUGGCUGCGGAUAGCAGCGAGGUGCACAAGUGAAAACAGGCAACCAGAGAGAUGUUUCAGGAGAGGCUCUGAGAACAUCUUCCCACAGCGCUCCAAGCAAGGAGGACACCUGUUACCGAGAUCUGGGACACAGGCAUCGAGUUUCUUUCUUUAUCUAAUGUGUCAGGUGUCUUGUCUGCCUGUAAGUCUGUGCAUCGCAUGCAUGCAGUGCCUGCAGAGACCAGAAGAGGGCGUACAUCCCUUGGGACUGGAAGUAGAAACUGUUGUGAGCGCUGGGAACCUAACCCAGAACGGCUGGAGGGGAAGGCCAGGGCAGGCAGUGUGCGCUUAACUGCUGGGCCAUCUUUCCAGAUGCCACAUUAUUUUAAUAGCAGUUGGGAUAAGAUCAAGGUAGAAAGAAACAGGAAAAGAUUUAUAUCACAGACUGCCGCAAUAGAGAACAAGAAAAAAAUGUGCUUUAAUUACGUUACCAAUACUGGCAGUUGACAUAAGCUGCAAAGCUAAUUGCCUUACAAAUGGCAAAUGCAGAUAACCACCACCAACUAAUGAACAAUGCCCUAGAGCAGCACUUCUCAACCUUCCUAAUGCCGCGACCCUUUGAUACAGUCCCUCAUGAUGCCUUGACUCCAACUAUAAAGUUGUUUUGUUCUUACUUCAUAACUG